GGGGCUAUGGCGCAGCUGGUAGCGCACCUGCAUGGCAUGCAGGGGGUCAGGGGUUCAAAUCCCCUUAGCUCCA
rnacentral:tRNA from 3 species